rnacentral:rRNA from 1 species
UACAGAGGGGGCAAGCGUUAUUCGGAAUUAUUGGGCGUAAAGGGCGCGUAGGCGGUUCUUCAAGUCUCUCGUGAAAUCCCUCGGCUUAACUGAGGACGUGCGGGAGAUACUGAAGGGCUUGAGUCCGGAAGAGGGUGGUGGAAUUCCCAGUGCAGCGGUGAAAUGCGUAGAUAUUGGGAGGAACACCGGUGGCGAAGGCGGCCACCUGGGCCGGAACUGACGCUGAGGCGCGAAAGCGUGGGGAGCAAACGGG